rnacentral:lncRNA from 1 species
ACAUUUUUCCCUUUGAAUGCAUAGUCCAAUCCUACCCAUUUAUGAGAAUAUUUAUUGGGAGAAAAAAGGAUACUUUUUUUCCUUUAUACAGAUUCAGAUGAUGUCAGACACUGCUGAUGGCUGCAGCCUCAAAGAUAUUCCUCUCCGUAAGAUCAGUCCAAAGCCUCUCUGAAGAAAAAAAAAGAACCCGAAGAGCAAAAUUCUGCUAUUAACCCCAAUUACCUAGCUGAUUCCUAUUAUAAAAACAGAGCAGUAUUCCUAAGGAAAAAUAUCCCCAAGACACAUAAAAUUCCACCUAAGACUACAAAAGCUCUAAUUGCUUUUAUAAGAAUAAGCUUGACACUGUUGAACUGCAAAUAUCAGAUUGUAAUGAGCCCUCUGAAGGGUGGGAGUGCUCUUUGAAAGGUGAGGUAAAAGGAGAGGAAUUAGGACUCGCUGUAUCUUCUUAGGUGAUUUAGACUCUGACUGAAGGAGUAGUUGUAGGGGAGGAAGGGAGUCUUGCUGUGUCCCUGAGCAGCUAUGGAAUCCACUUCUGCCCCCCCAGAAAUCCCCAGAAAACCCAACUGCUCAGUUAGGUGGGUGUCCGCGUGGCAGAAAAGCAGCCACAAAUCUUUGUUCCCAAACUAGAAGACACAUACUUGCCUAAUUUUUCUGGAACUGAACUUAAUUUCUGUGUUAAACCCUGGUUCCUCUGAGGAGCAGAAACUCAACUUGAGUCAUACAGGGUUUCUUUCCACAGUCAUCACUGAUAUUACAGGUAAGUUCUAAGGGACUAAGGUGAUGUCAGGGGUUGAAACUUGGAGGAAGAAGAGACAUAGUCAAAGCUUAGAGCUAAUCUGCUAAGAGAGCUAGAAGGAGGAGAUGGAUUCCAGAAAAAACAUGGUAAUUCUCUAUCUUAACCCUCCCUGUCUGUCCUCUCACCCGUCACAAAAUGAGAAGACAAGUUUAUUGAUCAGAAAUUUGUUUAUGUUAUUGCCAUUUUUUUCUUAUUCUCAGAAGGUCAGGAUCAAAAGCUUAAGAAAGAUACCUGAUUCUUUCCUGACUUAUGGUUUUGGCAGAGAUUCAGAAAGAGCUGACAGUUAUCUCAGAAUGCCACUAUUUCCAAUUUAAUGCUAAUUUAUGACAAUGUUUUCUUAUGUUUUACUAUCUCAAGCAUUAUUAAAUGUAUUCAGUUAUAGUAUUAAAAUAUAUUAAGUAGUAUAUUAAGGAUUGAGCCCA